UACGGAGGAUCCGAGCGUUAUCCGGAUUUAUUGGGUUUAAAGGGUGCGUAGGCGGCCCGUUAAGUCAGGGGUGAAAUACGGCAGCUCAACUGUCGCAGUGCCUUUGAUACUGAUGGGCUUGAAUAGCGUUGAAGAUGGCGGAAUGAGACAAGUAGCGGUGAAAUGCAUAGAUAUGUCUCAGAACACCGAUUGCGAAGGCAGCUGUCUAAGCGAAGAUUGACGCUGAUGCACGAAAGCGUGGGGAUCGAAC
rnacentral:rRNA from 1 species